rnacentral:rRNA from 1 species
UGCCAGCCGCCGCGGUAAUACGGAGAGGGCAAGCGUUGUUCGGAAUCACUGGGCAUAAAGCGCACGUAGGCGGAUUGGAAAGUCAGUUGUGAAAGCCCGGGGCUCAACCCCGGAAUUGCUUCUGAAACUUCCAGUCUUGAGGGUGAGAGGGGAGAGUGGAACUUCUGGUGGAGCGGUGAAAUGCGUAGAGAUCAGAAGGAACACCGGUGGCGAAAGCGACUCUCUGGCUCAUUUCUGACGCUGAGGUGCGAAAGCUUGGGUAGCGAACGGGAUUAGAUA